rnacentral:rRNA from 1 species
GUUCGAACAAGGUUUCCGUAGGUGAACCUGCGGAAGGAUCAUUACCACACCAAAAAACACCCCACGUGAAUGUACUCUUUAUGARGCUUGUGUUGCUCCUCGGAGCGACUAGCCGAAGGUUUCGCAAGAAGCCGAUGUAAUUUUUAAUCCCUUUUAAAUAAUAUCUGAUCAAAAACUGCAGGCAGAAAUGCGUGCAUUCAAUUGAAAUACAACUUUCAACAGUGGAUGUCUAGGCUCGCACAUCGAUGAAGAACGCUGCGAACUGCGAUACGUAAUGCGAAUUGCAGAAUUCAGUGAGUCAUCAAAAUUUUGAACGCAUAUUGCACUUCCGGGUUAGUCCUGGGAGUAUGUUUGUAUCAGUGUCCGUUAAUACAAAAUUGUUUCAUUUAUUUGAAGCAGAAUGUGAAGUGUCUUGUUUCGGCAAGUCCUUUCAAAUGAGUAUUACCUGUACGUCCUCGUGGGAUGCACUAUAUAAAGGUAUAUAUGAUUUUGAUUUCGAAUGUUUUGUGUGAUGGUAUACAAUUUUCGAAGGAGAAAUGAAUUGCGGUAGUUUUGCUUGUGCUUCGGUACGAGUGAACACAAUAUUGCUUUUUGUUGAUCUGGAGAGGUUGGUGCUGGAAGACAGGAUGCGUUGUCAAAUAGUAUGUACUGGUGUAUUCCUUGAUGUAUGGAGGAAAAUUGGGAAUUAUAUCCAAUUUGGACCUGAUAUCAAACAAGACUACCCGCUGAACUUAAGCAUAUCAAUAGGCGGG